rnacentral:rRNA from 1 species
GAUGAACGCUGGCGGCGUGCCUAAUACAUGCAAGUCGAGCGAACGGACGAGAAGCUUGCUUUUCUGAUGUUAGCGGCGGACGGGUGAGUAACACGUGGAUAACCUACCUAUAAGACUGGGAUAACUUCGGGAAACCGGAGCUAAUACCGGAUAAUAUUUUGAACCGCAUGGUUCAAAAGUGAAAGACGGUCUUGCUGUCACUUAUAGAUGGAUCCGCGCUGCAUUAGCUAGUUGGUAAGGUAACGGCUUACCAAGGCAACGAUGCAUAGCCGACCUGAGAGGGUGAGCGGCCACACUGGAACUGAGACACGGUCCAGACUCCUACGGGAGGCAGCAGUAGGGAAUCUUCCGCAAUGGGCGAAAGCCUGAAGGAGCAACGCCGCGUGAGUGAUGAAGGUCUUCGGAUCGUAAAACUCUGUUAUUAGGGAAGAACAUAUGUGUAAGUAACUGUGCACAUCUUGACGGUACCUAAUCAGAAAGCCACGGCUAACUACGUG